CCUCCGGUCAGUCUCCCAACUCUCUUCCGACCUGGCUCCCCCCCGGGCAAGGUUCCCUGAGCCCCCUCCGCACCCCCUCGUUCCUGGCCCCCGCCCCCGAGUCUCCCUCAGCAGCUCAGCCCCACGCGGCCCCUGCGCCCCGGUGGGCCGGCUUGCUCGGCGGCUCCAGGCGUGUGCGGCUCUCGCCCCAGCCCCUCCGCUGCUCACUGCUCUGCGAGGCCUCUCCUCCUUUACUCCCUUUCCUGCUCGCCCUCUAGGCUGUCCCUUCCUUGGACGCCCCAUCUCUCCAUCCUUCCCUGCAGGCAGUGGGGUCACACUCGGGCUUCUCCGGCGGGAGGGGCCGAGGCGAACCACCGCUGAGUAAUGGAGCAGCCCGGGCGGCUCCUGGGCACGGUGCUCGCGGGCCUGAUCGCUGCACCGCACGACAGUAGGUGGGAGGGUGGUUGCGGGGAAGAAAGGUCACGGGGGUAGCCUUCGUCCAGCCCUGAGGCCGGAGGUUGUCCACCUCUCACCCACAAACCGAUCUGACCCGGCAGCUUCAUGCCCCGGUUGCCGACCUAUUCUCAGCUGCCUACGAACGCCUUGGGUUUUUGGACCUUGAUGGUCUCAGCCAUGUUCAACAAGCUCGCCUUGCUUAUUCCUUUGGUGAAAUGGUGGCAUGAGAAGACGCCAUUGAAGGAAGGUUUGAGUUUGCAGUCUGGUGCAGGACCUCAUUCAUGGGCAGGUGGUGCCAAAAGGGCUGCAGGGUCAGGCCUGUGGCCCAGAGACGUCCACAGAUGUGGAGGACACGGUCUGGUUACCUGCUGCCUUGGUUCUGGCAGAUUUAAAGGGCUUCCCUUAGAUGCCCUUGACCAGAAAAAGGUUUCUUGAGGCUGCUUGGAGACAGCCUGGCACGUCCAGGGGAUGGUAGUUUCUUCACUGCUGGUAAUGUUGGGAACCUUGUUACCAUGGAGCGUGUACCUCUUGGGACUGGGGAAAGGGAGGUUAGCAGGUGAGAACUGAAAUCCUAGCAAAUGUGAGGCCCAGGGAGGGAAGAGGAACUAAUAUUUACUGCGUCCUUACCAUGUGCCAGGUAUUGGGCUUAUAUUCCAUCAUUGAUUUUUAACUGUGGAACAGGCUUCUAGGAGUCAGAACAGAGGAGAGUAGAAAUAGGGGUCGGUUGAUUAGAAUGGGAAGUGCUGGGAGGAGGCCUGUCUGUAUAUGGAAGCGAGUCAUGGUGGGAGUAACAGAUGAAAUAAAAACACGUGCUGUGCAUCCAUACGGACCCAGCUCUACCAUGCCAUAGCUAUGUGACCUUGAGUGGUCAGACACACUCUCAAGCUCAGCAUCCUUCUCUGUUAAAAGGAGGAGACCCAAACUGCCUUCUGUGUCCCAUGGGAGGCUUCAGCGCAGUGCUAGGCACAGAGCUUGUGUCUUGAACACGAAACUUGGGUCUGUGGGUGGAAUGCAGUAGGAGACUGUAAAAAGAGCUUGGCUUUGGAGUCAGGUGUACUUGGGCUUGAAGGCCAGCUGGACAGCUUAGCUUUGUGACCUUGGACAGGUCACUUCCCUUCUGAGCCUCAAAUUCGUUGCCUUUAAGAUAAGAAUGAUGACUCUGGUCACAGACUUGUUAGUGAUAAUAACGUGAAAGCACUUGGCACAGGAUCUGAGACCUUGCGGGGAUUUUAAAGUAGUCAUUCCUUUUCUUCCUUGCUGAGCACCUUCUGGUCCUUGGGAGCAGGGAUCUGUUCAGAGAAGUGGUUUUGAGUGAUUUUGCGCUCUCUCCUUUCCCUGAGGAAAGCUGGCAAUGUUUGGAGACAUUUUGAUUGUCAGGGCUUGAGGGAUCUAGUGGGUAGAGGCCAGGGGUGCUGCUAAAAUUGUCCGAUGCAUAGGCAGACCCCACAUUGAUCAUCUGGUCUAAAAUGUCAGUAGUGCCAUGGUUGAGAAACCCUGAGAUAGAGGAGACUAGGGGUUGGGCAGGGCUCCCCAGCCUGCACAGCCUGUUCUCUGAAAGGGCCGGAGGCCAGCUUGCUAAAUGGUAUGCCCUCGCAGCAGCCUGUAUCUCCUCACCUGCUGCAGGCCCUCUACCCAUCAGCACCUAGCGUGAACGCUUGGGAGACUGCCAACAGUGAGGUGACUCUAAAGCAGUGGCUCUUUUUGCUCUAGUGGACUAGUUAUCCUACUCUUCCAAAUGAUUUUGUCUGCCAACCAUGCUGAAGAGUGAAGAGCACCAGCCAACAUUUCCUGUUAAGCCUCUGGGUCUCUGCUUAUUGUUCUGGACACCAAAUUAGAAAAGAAUUCUGCGGUAGAAGUUAUCAGUGGCUGAUGCCAGACUGGCCCUUGCCUGGCUGGGGAAGAGGAAGUCCAAGGCGGACAGAUACAGGGUCGGUGGGUGGAGUGCCGCAGGCUGUGAUCCACCUUCCACAUUUGGGGGUGGGCUCCCUCUCCCGUGCGGAAGGUGGAUCACAGCCCGGCAGGGGCCGGGGAGCUUGGCAGAAGUGGCUUUGGGGUGGUGUGGGCACUGCUCAGUCAAGAUGGAGCCCACACUGGGGAAGACAGGGCAGCUUUGCUCCAGAGCCCUGUCAGUUUAUACGUGGGUAUCGCUGCAUGGUAUCCGAUUGGGCAGAAGCCAUUCCUUGUUCUAUUUUUGAGGCUUUUUGGCUGAAGCCAAUGUUUCAGAUGAGGAAAUGAAAGUCGGCUAAUGUAAUUCAGUUUAAAAUAGGUGUCACCUUUGGGGACCUAACCCAGAUUAUAAAUUUCUUUUAAGUGCUGGCUAUUCAGAACUCAGCGAAGAAUCUGUCAGUACUGCAGCUGAGAUUUGGGGGUUAGGGGGCAGGGGGAUUGGCUCAUUUGUUGGCAAAAGUUCUUUUAGAUUAAUAAAUCUCCCUCCUGGUAGCAGUUGGGACCUCACUGACCUGGGGGAGGUCUUAGAAGGUAACAGUUUUAGCACAUCUUAAUUUCUUUAUUGGUUUAACUGAUACAAAGCAUUGGAUUGAGAGUGAGAAGACCUUGGUUUGUGCCUUUGUUCUUCCCUUUUGAGAACAAGGUGAGGUUGAUAACCUCACAUGGUGGUUGUUAGUAUCGAGUAGGGCAGAUACAGGGACAGUACCCGUACAGAGCAGGUGCAAGCAACUCAGGAUUUUGCUGUAAGAUACCCCUUGAGGGCAGUUGCUUUGCUGCUACCUUCCAGGGAUCGAGGGAGGGUGUGUCCAAACUUGCUUUGAGCCCUAGCUGGUUUGGCUUAGGGGAUAGAGAGCAUCAGCCUGUGGACUGAAGGUUCCUGGGUUUGAUUCUGGUCAAGGGUGCAUGCCCAGGUUUGGGGCUCGAUCCCCAGGAGGGGGCGUACAGGAGGCAGCCGAUCAAUGCUUCUCUCUCAUCAUUGAUGUUUCUAUUUAUCCCUAUCCCUUCCUCUCUGAAAUCAAUCUAUCAGUCAAUA